GCCGGACGCGGUGGCGCGCGCCUGUAAUCCCAGCUCCCCGGGAGGCUGAGGUCGGCGGAUCGUGGGUGCUCGGGGGUUCGGAGCUACGGCGCUGUGUGGAGCGGGCGUCCGCACCGGGCCUGGCACCAACAUGGGACUCCCGGGGGAGCCCGGGAGUACCAGGUUGUCUAAGGAGGGGGGGACCAGGCCCAGGCCGGACACGGAGCAGGUCAAACUCCCCGUGUUGGGCGACGGUGGGACCGCGCCUGCGAGCAACGCCUGCAGUUCCGCCCGGGACAUCCGACGAGACCCGGUCUCUU
ensembl:misc_RNA Metazoa_SRP Metazoan signal recognition particle RNA